rnacentral:rRNA from 1 species
UGGGCGUAAAGCGCGCGUAGGUGACUAAUUAAGUCAAAUGUGAAAUCCCCGAGCUUAACUUGGGAAUUGCAUUCGAUACUGGUUAGCUAGAGUAUGGGAGAGGAUGGUAGAAUUCCAGGUGUAGCGGUGAAAUGCGUAGAGAUCUGGAGGAAUACCGAUGGCGAAGGCAGCCAUCUGGCCUAAUACUGACACUGAGGUGCGAAAGCAUGGGGAGCAAACAGGAUUAGAUACCCUGGUAGUCCAUGCCGUAAACGAUGUCUACUAGCCGUUGGGGCCUUUGAGGCUUUAGUGGCGCAGCUAACGCGAUAAGUAGACCGCCUGGGGAGUACGGUCGCAAGACUAAAACUCAAAUGAAUUGACGGGGGCCCGCACAAGCGGUGGAGCAUGUGGUUUAAUUCGAUGCAACGCGAAGAACCUUACCUGGCCUUGACAUACAGAGAACUUUCCAGAGAUGGAUUGGUGCCUUCGGGAACUCUGAUACAGGUGCUGCAUGGCUGUCGUCAGCUCGUGUCGUGAGAUGUUGGGUUAAGUCCCGCAACGAGCGCAACCCUUUUCCUUACUUGCCAGCAUUUCGGAUGGGAACUUUAAGGAUACUGCCAGUGACAAACUGGAGGAAGGCGGGGACGACGUCAAGUCAUCAUGGCCCUUACGGCCAGGGCUACACACGUGCUACAAUGGUCGGUACAAAGGGUUGCUACACAGCGAUGUGAUGCUAAUCUCAAAAAGCCGAUCGUAGUCCGGAUUGGAGUCUGCAACUCGACUCCAUGAAGUCGGAAUCGCUAGUA